UAGCCAAGAUGUUUGUAACAUUGCGCGAUCCCACUGAUACAUUUACUGAGUGAAGGUCUAACUUUCGAGUGUCUUGAGCCAACUUAUCAGCUCCUCUUAAUUAACCGAAUCGUAUUUGAAAAUCAUGCUUAGUGAAGCAGAAACUACACCAACCUUGGAUGAGCCAAAUCUACCGGAAUUUUGCGGAGCAACGUUAUCUUUAAACAAUGCUUCAGGCACUAUUUCAAACCAAAAAAUCGUAAAGCAAAACCUUUUUUCAAACAACGAAGCAGAUCAAAUGAAAGAAAGAAAGAAAAUAGCUGAACUCCAACCCUGCGGUCCUUCAUCAAACUGCGAAAAUGUUCCUUUAUCUCCAACUGUUCUCAGCGCUGAAGCUCGUGGUGGUGACGGUCAAAUCAUCUCACAAGGCUACUUCAGUUCAAGAAAUUACAUGUUCGCGAUCGAAAAUUGCAAGAGAAUCUUGACUCGAGGAGAACCUGAGAACCAUGGGGUUUUCGUAGGAAGUUGGUUGCUAACUAUGACUAAAGGGUCGAUCACUGGGACAACGAAAAAGAACGACUGAUUUUGCUUUAUUCUCGAACCUUGUUCAUUGUAAAAUACGACUUCAUCACCACGACUCUUCAAAGCUUCGAGACCUAUGCACUCCAGAAAAUUAUUCACCUUACUAUUGGGAAUAUUGAAUACCCAACACACUCAAUCACACCGAAAUUCCAAUACCUCGCAGAUUCUAUAACAGGACGAUUCUCGUCUAUUCUACGAGGUAACUUUAAUAGUCAAUCGGCAUCGGAGCUAUUACAUAAACGUUCAACAGGUGAAGAAACUCAAACUGACUUCACUUCCGACAGAUUGAAAAGAAACGGCGUCCGAAUUUUGUUUGGGUCCGUGCCGGCAGAACCCAAUUUUACCCAGUUAUGGAAUCCAUGGAGCAAGGCAAUUCCCUGGUUAACGUUUUUAUCGCAUCCACUACUUUCAACUGAACACACGACUCCUGCUAUAUUCGACGUUAAAGAUUUUACAGUCAACCUACAGCGAACUUUGCAAAACGAGUACCAGGGUUUAGUUGAAUACAAGCCAAUUAUAAUGAAUUCGUAUUUAGGGCUUCCAGCAUUAGUACACAACUACAGUCAAUUCGGAUUUUACAAAGUACGAGGGAAAGUAAGUUUUUAAUACUCCACCCAAUCUUCCCAACCAAUAGGCUUCAACUUUUUUGUAUUUAAUUUAUUAAUGUUUUCGAAGUCCAAUACACAAAUAAAGAAAUCAAA